AACGAACGCUGGCGGCAGGCUUAACACAUGCAAGUCGAACGGUUGCAGCAAUGCAGCAGUGGCAGACGGGUGAGUAACAAGUGGGAACCUUCCUAGGAGUACGGAACAACACAGGGAAAAUUGAGCUAAUACCGUAUACGUCCGUGAGGAGAAAGAUUUAUCGCCCUUAGACGGGCCCGCGUCGGAUUAGCUAGUUGGUGGGGUAACGGCCUACCAAGGCGACGAUCCGUAGCUGAUCUUAGAGGAUGAUCAGCCACACUGGGACUGAGACACGGCCCAGACUCCUACGGGAGGCAGCAGUGGGGAAUCUUGGACAAUGGGCGCAAGCCUGAUCCAGCCAUGCCGCGUGAGUGAAGAAGGUCUUCGGAUUGUAAAGCUCUUUUGCCAGGGACGAUAAAGACGGUACCUGGAGAAUAAGCCCCGGCAAACUUCGUGCCAGCAGCCGCAGUAA
rnacentral:rRNA from 1 species